UCGAACGAUGAUGCCUCGCUUGCGGGGUGGAUUAGUGGCGAACGGGUGAGUAAUACGUGAGUAACCUGCCCUGGACUCUGGGAUAAGCCUGGGAAACUGGGUCUAAUACUGGAUACGACCUUCCACCGCAUGGUGGGGGGUGGAAAGGGUUUUACUGGUUGUGGAUGGGCUCACGGCCUAUCAGCUGGUUGGUGGGGUAAUGGCUCACCAAGGCGACGACGGGUAGCCGGCCUGAGAGGGUGACCGGCCACACUGGGACUGAGACACGGCCCAGACUCCUACGGGAGGCAGCAGUGGGGAAUAUUGCACAAUGGGCGCAAGCCUGAUGCAGCGACGCCGCGUGAGGGAUGACGGCCUUCGGGUUGUAAACCUCUUUCAGUAGGGAAGAAGCGCAAGUGACGGUACCUGCAGAAGAAGCGCCGGCUAACUACGUGCCAGCAGCCGCGGUAAUACGUAGGGCGCAAGCGUUGUCCGGAAUUAUUGGGCGUAAAGAGCUCGUAGGCGGUUUGUCGCGUCCGCUGUGAAAGCCCGGGGCUCAACCCCGGGUCGGCAGUGGGUACGGGCAGACUAAAGUGCAGUAGGGGAGACUGGAAUUCCUGGUGUAGCGGUGAAAUGCGCAGAUAUCAGGAGGAACACCGAUGGCGAAGGCAGGUCUCUGGGCUGUUACUGAC
rnacentral:rRNA from 1 species